rnacentral:rRNA from 1 species
GUGCCAGCCGCCGCGGUAAUACGUAGGGGGCGAGCGUUGUCCGGAUUUAUUGGGCGUAAAGAGCUCGUAGGCGGUUUGGUAAGUCGGAUGUGAAAUCUCCAGGCUCAACUUGGAGGGGUCAUUCGGUACUGCCAUGACUAGAGUUCGGUAGGGGAGUGUGGAAUACCUGGUGGAGCGGUGAAAUGCGCAGAUAUCAGGUGGAACACCCGUAGCGAAGGCGGCACUCUGGGCCGGAACUGACGCUGAGGAGCGAAAGCGUGGGGAGCGAACAGGAUUAGAAACCCCCGUAGUCC